rnacentral:tRNA from 1 species
GGCAGCUCUCGCAGCGCAUGCGCAAGAAUCCAUGCUCGAGCCGGACUUAGAAUUCGCUAUCGGUGGUUCGAUUCCGCCCCUGGCUACCA